UACAGAGGUCUCAAGCGUUGUUCGGAUUCAUUGGGCGUAAAGGGUGCGUAGGUGGCGCUGUAAGUCGGGUGUGAAAUCCUGAGGCUUAACCUCGGAACUGCAUUCGAUACUGCGGCGCUUGAGGACUAGAGAGGAGACUGGAAUUCAUGGUGUAGCAGUGAAAUGCGUAGAGAUCAUGAGGAAGACCAGUGGCGAAGGCGGGUCUCUGGACAGUUCCUGACACUGAGGCACGAAGGCCAGGGGAGCAAACGGG
rnacentral:rRNA from 1 species